rnacentral:rRNA from 1 species
AACGAACGCUGGCGGCGUGCCUAACACAUGCAAGUCGAACGAGAAAGGGAUUUCGGUCCUGAGUAAAGUGGCGCACGGGUGAGUAACACGUAGGUAACCUACCUCUAAGUUUGGGAUAACCUGUCGAAAGAUGAGCUAAUACUGAAUAAGACCACAGUUUCCUCGGAAGCAGGGGUCAAAGGUAGCCUCUAUUCAUAAGCUAUCACUUAGAGAUGGGCCUGCGUACCAUUAGCUAGUUGGUGAGGUAACGGCUCACCAAGGCAAAGAUGGUUAGCUGGUCUGAGAGGAUGAUCAGCCACACUGGAACUGAGACACGGUCCAGACUCCUACGGGAGGCAGCAAUGGGGAAUAUUGCGCAAUGGGCGAAAGCCUGACGCAGCAACGCCGCGUGAGUGAUGAAGGCCUUCGGGUCGUAAAGCUCUGUCGGAGGGAACGAAUGCUCUGAGGUUAACAGCCUCAGGAAGUGACGGUACCCUCAAAAGGGAA